AAUUGAUUCACACCUGCCUUUUGUUAGUCCUCGUUAUUUGUGUGUUUAAGUUCCUGCCUUUGUCCAUUGUGGAUGUUACUCUGCGUGAGAUGUUACUCUGUUUGUAGGUCUGCUUAUUUUCCUUGUCCAACUCCUGGUGUUGCUCAGAUUAUGAUUUUGCUUUGUCUUAAGUGAAUCAUCACCUUUUCCCCCCUGUGCCAUGAUGCCAUGUAACAACAAGCAUAUUUCUGUGAAAGCGUCAUUACUAAGGAAUGUCAUCACAGGAAAUUAAACGCAUGUUGGCAGAAGAUGUCCUGCGCAGACUACAACCUGUUUGACUUACUGCUUAACCAGAAGGUGCUCAGCCCUCCCUGCCUAGACAGCUUCCCCACCCUGAAGAGCUACGUUGACAAGAUAGCCGCCUGUCCGAAAAUCUAAGCAUUCAUGGAGUCUGAUAGCUUUAAGAAGCUGCCCAUCAACGGAAAACAGUGACGCACUGGUGGGAUGGAGCACUGGUGGGAUGGAGCACUGGUGGGGUACAUCUGUCACCAGGGCUACUAGCUACAAUCAUUAGCAGCUCAGGAGAGCAGAAGCCGAUGCUUCUGAUGUGUGAAGUCACUGUGUCAGUUUGGUCUUUGUGUGCAUCCAACAUUUUCCCUGACAG